AGGGCUGUGGUUUGUCAGAUAUUGGCCUUGAAUAUCUGGCAGCAGCGCUGAAGUCCAACCCCUCGUAUCCCACAGAGGUGGACCUGAGUGGAACCUACAGCAACCUGAAGGAUCCAGGAGUGAAGCAUCUGUGUGGUUUCCUGGAGAGUCCACGAUGUCGAUUUGAAACUCUGAGAUUGGAGGACUGUGAUUUGUCAGAGAUCAGCUGUGAUUAUCUGGAAGCAGUGCUGAAGCUCAACCCUUCGUAUCCCACAGAGGUGGACCUGAGUGGAACCUACAGCAACCUGAAGGAUCCAGGAGUGAAGCAUCUGUGUGGUUUCCUGGAGAGUCCACGAUGUCGAUUUGAAACUCUGAGAUUGGAGCGCUGUGAUUUGUCAGAGAUCAGCUGUGAUUAUCUGGCAGCAGUGCUGAAGCUCAACCCUUCGUAUCCCAGAGAGGUGGACCUGAGCUCCCACAAGCUUCAGGAUUCAGGAGUGAAGCAGCUGUGUGUUCUUCUGGAGAAUCCACAACAUCAAAUUGAAACUCUGAGGUCAGUCUCCACGUUUUAGUUGUGCUGACACUGUCGAUCUGUGGAACUAAAACCUUUAUACAGGAAGUCUGGUUCAGCUCUUUGUAGACCUUCUAAUCUCUGAUGCUCUGAGUCUUACUCAGUAGAUGAUGCAGAGUUGUGAAGCCGAUGUGGGUGAGGACACUCGCCCAGCUCUAACUACUUUGACGUCCAGGUGUCUUCCCUGCUUGUCCUGAUACAAACAAACCUGAGUAACCUUGCAGGUCAGAUCUCAUCAGUCACACCUGUUAUGGCAGCUCUCCUCUAGAUUGUAGUUCUUGUUAACCUGGGAUGGUUUUAGAAGCCUGGACCACAGACUGCAAGGGAAGAUAUUACUGGGAAAGGCCAAAGCAACCUAUUAGACCCAUUAAACACUAACAUAGAUGAAUACUCAGAUUUAAACCUUUAUUGUUUCACAAAGGGUUAAAAAGGGAACGUCCACAGUUUAGACUGCAGCAGAUUUUAUUAAAGCAGUUU